rnacentral:rRNA from 1 species
UACAGAGGGGGCCAGCGUUAUUCGGAAUCGUUGGGCGUAAAGGGCGCGUAGGCGGCCAUGCGUGUCUUCCGUGAAAUCCCUUGGCUUAACCGAGGACGUGCGGAAGAAACUGCAAGGCUCGAGUCCGGAAGAGGGGGGCGGAAUUCCCAGUGUAGCGGUGAAAUGCGUAGAUAUUGGGAGGAACACCAGUGGCGAAGGCGGUCCCCUGGGCCGGAACUGACGCUGAGGCGCGAAAGCGUGGGUAGCAAACGGG